AUACGGAGGAUCCGAGCGUUAUCCGGAUUUAUUGGGUUUAAAGGGUGCGCAGGCGGCCAUUUAAGUCAGCGGUUAAAUCGUGGGGCUCAACCCCAUUCUGCCGUUGAUACUGGGUGGCUUGAUUGCGGUCGAGGUUGGCGGAAUUCGUUGUGUAGCGGUGAAAUGCAUAGAUAUGACGAAGAACACCGAUUGCGUAGGCAGCUGACCAGACCGCAAAUGACGCUCAUGCACGAAAGUGCGUGGAUCGAACAGGAUUAGAUACCCUGGUAGUCCGCACAGUAAACGAUGAAUACUUGUUUUCGGCGAUAUAAUGUCGGAGGCAAAGCGAAAGCGAUAAGUAUUCCACCUGGGGAGUACGCCGGCAACGGUGAUACUCAAAUGAAUUGACGGGA
rnacentral:rRNA from 1 species